GUCUACGGCCAUACCACCCUGAACAUACUCGAUUUCCUCUGAUCUCGGAAGCUAAGCAGGGUCGGGCCUGGUUAGUACUUGGAUGGGAGAAUUUAAAAAUUGGACUGUUGCAUAUA
ensembl:rRNA 5S_rRNA 5S ribosomal RNA